GUGGAAUGCAACAUACCAUAAAUUAUAUCUCCAGGUUGUUGACGUCGAACUGGCGUUGAAAUAUCUUCAUCCAAGAUUUACGAUGAUUGAGCCACGUGCCCCCCACCAAAAAAGACCCGGGAUGGGUUUCACUCAUACUUAACGCAUACUUAAGACAGUUGACGAAAGACAGGGAGAACCUCCUUACACAUGUUUACACACAACACCAGUGCAUGAUAAAUCACCAAUCUCACAGUGCUUCUCAAGGUUAUUUAGUAAAGUAUGUACUUGAGCUUUUACCAAUGUACAUCUUGCUUCCCCUUUUGUUCUUAUUGAAACCAAAUUUAUUAGUUUCCUCUGUCUGGUGGCAGUCAAGGUGAGGGACCACAACCAUCUCCACACUCUAUAACAGUGUCGGGUCUGUGGAUAUAUGGUUUGAUAAUCGGAGGCCCUGUGUUGGGCUGAGUUUUGUUUUUUAUCAUUGUGUAUAUUUGAUGUUUUGCGACUUUUACAGUGUUGGUCACAGUGCAGCCUGUCAUAUGGAGAGUAAUGUGAAUGACUGUAUGUGCUUGUCAACUCUCAGCAGUUUCUCUUUGGCACCUCGGAAAGUGGCACUCAAUCCUGUCGUCUCAACUAACUGAUGUGAAAUACUUGCCGCAUAAACGCACACACACAUAUGAUAAACUGCACAGUGAUUUCCAGUCUUUUCCUGGCAGGUGAGGAGAAUUUCUCUUGGGCAGACAGACAGAUAGCAGUUCAUGUGAGAAGGGACGGCAGAAAGUAGCUAAGGCACAAGGAGCUGUGCGGAAAACAUUACUUGUGGCAAUAGGACACAAUUCAUUUUAAAUUAGCAUCCAUAAUCCAGUGAAACUGACAUGAAC
ensembl:lncRNA